GUUUGUGGCUCAGUGGUAGAGUGGUCGCCUAGCACAUGUGAGGCACUGAGUUCGAUCCUUAGCAUCACA
rnacentral:tRNA from 1 species